CACUCACCCUCAGAGGUUCACUCACUGGAUUUUUUGUUUUCUUAGGCGGACCAACGGACGCCGCUACCGCCGCGAGGCGAGGCGCCGCUCCUCCCAGGAGCCGCCGGUCCGUGGCGCCUGCCAGAUGUCCCGCUGGAAGCGCCUCCUCGCUGUCGCAGACAGCGGCCGCAAGUAGUUCCGGCGAAGCAGGCAGGUAGGAGCGGCGAAGAGUAGCGUCCCACCGCUACUACUAGGCGAGUGUAGACUUCUCUUUUACUCUGAUAAAUUUUCCCCGCGAGUGAACUAGAAGUCCUACUGUUUUCGGUAGAGGUGGCAACACCGGACGCCUUAUCAGUAGUUCACCAGUCAUUGUCUCCACAAGGCAGGAAUGGGCUGUUCGCUAACACGUGCACGACAAGCGUUUACGGCACUCUACGAUGUCCCAGAUGCCCCGUUGGGAGGUCGUAACCUCCAACCAGGACACGACCCACUACUCUACGACCGCCGCCUCCACCGCCUCAAGUUCAGGUACCACUUCCUAUACUUCGCCCUUCGUCGCCUCUCUGACCUCCUAACUCAGUUCGACCCUUCUAUACGUGGACCAAGAGUUCGAUAGUACUGGUAACACAGACAACAUACCUAAGGAUACCAGAUACACUUUGAGGAAAGUUCGAACUAGGCCCUGAAAACACGAGGCGUCGCACGCUGUAGCUUUGUUACUUUUAACCUUCAGAAAACACAACAACAGAAGAGGUUGGUAGACUCUUCCCUGGUUACAUACUCUUCCUCCGAAACGACCUACACUCCUCUACAACGACGAGGACCUACACUCACCUAGAACGUUCAAACGCUGAUAUGACAAUGGUUCCUGUACUUCUUAAGCCAGCUUCGGAGAAAUACUUUACGUACCAAUGACCUCGCGAGGUACAAACAGAUCAACGUACAACACCAACGUCGACUUCUUGGAAGAGGAGGUGCCCAAUCAAGUACUGAUGACACUUACAAAAACAAGCGCUAACAUUUACGCUUCGAGGUCCCGCACAACUGUUCUCCUACAUAGUGCUUGACGACUGUGG
rnacentral:rRNA from 1 species